UUGGAACUGCAAUUUAAUAUUUAGAAGUGUAAACUUUUAAUGUAACAGACUAAAUUUUAGAGACAUUGAGAAAAUGUGCGUUCAGGACCAGCAACAUGAGUAUCCUUGUGUCUUGACUCUCGAAUGGAAUGUAACAAGUGCAGUUGAAGAGCUGGAUUCAAUCCCUCUUUUUAUAAGCCUCCAUGUUGGAGAGAACCCAUCCGGAUGGAGCCAGGAAGCAUACAACGAAUGUUGUAAAUCCAAUCAUGGACUCCUGAGGGAGGAGAUAGAUGGAAAAAUAUAUUACCUUGAUCUACUAAAAAUGUGAGACUGAAAUCAAAUGCAUUAUAGAUCAAUUAAGUGGAUUUUAAAUGGGAAAUUUCAAAAGUAUUUAUUAACCACAUGCUGGAAAGGGCUGUCUAAUG